UACGUAGGGUGCAAGCGUUGUCCGGAAUUAUUGGGCGUAAAGGGCGCGUAGGCGGCCCGCUAAGUCGAACGUGAAAUCCCCGGGCUCAACCCGGGAACUGCGUCCGAUACUGGCAGGCUUGAAUCCGGGAGAGGGAUGCGGAAUUCCAGGUGUAGCGGUGAAAUGCGUAGAUAUCUGGAGGAACACCGGUGGCGAAGGCGGCAUCCUGGACCGGCAUUGACGCUGAGGCGCGAAAGCCAGGGGAGCAAACGGG
rnacentral:rRNA from 1 species